AGGGUAAAAGUACAAGAAAUACCGAAAAUCGAUCUUACCAAGAUGCCGGACACACUUCUGGUACAAAGAGUUUUGCUCAAAAAGUUGAAGACAUGUUCGAACGUGACAAAGUAAUACCGACCAUGCUGAAAUUGUACGAGGAAACUCAUUCAAAAAAUGAUAAGACACCGGUUACUGAAGUGGCAAAAGAAACAAUGUAAAAAAUGAAAGAGCUUUUAGCGCAACGUGAGGCGGGAGAAAUAAAGAUGACAGAUGAAGAAAUCUAUGCAAAAGUUAAACCCAUUGGUAAACACGGUCGUGAUCGUGGCAAGGGAGUAAGCCCCUCUAUUACAUCAUUAUAUGGGUCAUUCAGUGAAGGAGAAAAACUGCGAAAAGAAGCUAAUGAGGCAAAGAUUGAGGCAAAGGAGGCCAAUGAGAAAAAUGAAGCACUUACUAAAGAGAUGAAAGUCAUGAAAAAAAAUAUGGAACUUAUGAAAGGGUUCAUGUGAAAAAUAUUUGAUCGUUUGGGGUUUUGAUAUGGAUGAGGUAAUUUGUUAAAUAA